CACUGGGGACUUUUUCUUAUAGAAUUCAUUGAUGGCUGUUGAACCUCCUUUUCUGUUUUGGGUUUAUUUAAAUAUUCUAAUUCCUCUUCUGUUAAUCUGAACAAUUAAUAUUUUUAAAUAUUCACCUAGGUCACUUAGAUUGUCAUUAGAUAGACUUUUGAUAUAAAAUUGGGCAAAAUUACUCCUAACAAUUGCUUUAAUUUUCUCUUUGUUAUGUGUUCACCUUUUUUUAUUUCUGAUACUGGCAAUUUGGUUUUCUACUCUCUUUAAAAAAAAAUCAAAUUAGCCAAUGAUUUAUCUAUUUUAUUGAUUUCCCCCACCCACACAGAAAACUAGAUCUUUGUCUUAUUUAUUAGUACAAUGAUUUUUUUACUUUGAAUUUUAUUAAUAGCUCCUUUGAUUUUCAGGAUAUCUAAUUUGAUGUUUAAUUGGGGAUUUAAAAUUCAUUCUUUUUCUAGAUUAUUUUGGUUGCAUGCCCAGUUCAUUAAUCUGUCCUUUCUCCAUUUUGAAAAAGCAUAUUGUGGAAUUCUGGUUUUGAAUAUCCUCUACUAUCGUCUUCUGUUUUAUGGUUUCACAUGCCAGAAGGGGUCUUUCCCAGACCUGGGAGUUGGCACCAUUGACUUUGGAAACAACAUUGCAACCAGAAUUCCAGGCAUAGAAAGGAAAGCCAGGACUGAAGAGCCAACGAUCUACCCUGCCUGAAGUAGAAGCCAAGAUCUUCCACAAGGGAGAACAGGACACCUCAGGGCAGCAGCUUAUCAGGAAUAGAGAAGAGUCAAGACCAGGACUCUCCACAAGGAGAAGAGAGACUUCAACUGAUAGAGAUAAGGACGGAGUAUGCUACCAUCUUGGAGGGAAGAUCUGCUCUGCAAAUGCUGGGAGGUGGGAAAAGGCAGGAUGAGACUGAAGAAUAGGAAAUAGUCCAAUCUGGCUGGAACAUAGAAUUCAAGUCAUAUACAAGAAGGAUGGAAAGGGAGGUCAGACACAGAUUGUGAAGGGACGUAAUACAAAUAUAAGGAGUUUAUAUUUUAUCCUCUAAAGUUUAGAUUUUUUCUAAUUUUAGAUAAUUUCUAAUUUUAGAUUUUUUUCUAAUUUUAGAUAAUUUCUAAAUUUAGAUAAUUUAGAUAAAAUUAGAUAAUUUCUCAUUUUUAGAUUUUCAGUGGUUCCAGAACCACUGAAAAAUUUUCACAGGAUAAGUAAUAAGCCAUGGGAAGAGUCAGUCAGUAUCUGUGUGACAGGUGAAUUGGAGGACUCCAAGGACAGAAGCUGGUGGAAGGUAGAGACUAGACAACCACAACAUUGGAGACAUUGGCAAGAGAGAGCAAUAGAGAACCUUUGUAUAAGAAGUUUAAGGUCUGCAAAGCACUUUACCAAGUAUUCUCUCAUUUGAUCCUCACAAAAACCCUGGGCAAUAGGUGCUAUUGUUAUACCCAUUUCAUAGAUUAGGAAACCGGCACAAUGAGAGACUGAGUAAUUUGCCAAGAGUCAUACUGGUAGUGUCUGAAACUGGAUUUGAACCCAAGACCUUCUGAUUCCAAGUCCUACAUUCUCUCUAUCUCUACUGGGUCACCUAGCAGAGAUGUGGUAUGUUCAGGGAAAAGCCAGAAUUUGGUUAGAAUAUAGAAGUUCAAGGAAUAGAAUAGGGAGGGUUUAGGAGGCAGGCACGUAUGUUCAGAGGAGGAAGGGGUAGACAGAAGAGGACAGUGUCUGGGGAUGGAGAGGACUAAAGCAGAUACAGGUAAGAGUCUGGGGAAAGAAGGCUCUUGUUUCCUCGGUCUCUCUCCCUCCGUCUCUGUCUUUUUCUCUAUUUCUGUCUGUCUGUCUUUAUCUACCUCUGUCUCUCUUUCUCUUUAUCAACCUUGGGGUUGAUAAACACUCAUGAUUGGGAGCAAUUAGCGGGACUGGGGAUAGGAUCCUUCUAGAGAAAAAGGGUGUAACCUGGGAAAUUAAAUAUAAUGCCAAGCCAAAAUUCCCAAGGGUCACCAAAUCCAAGGGCUAGGCAGGAUUCUAAGGGUUCAUAGUAGUGGUCAAAGAGUGAGGAGGAGGCAGGAAGGAACAAGUAUUUCUUAAGUACCUUCUAUGUGCCAAGCAUUGUGUUAAGCUCUUUAAAAAUAUUAUCCCGUUUGAUCCUCCUAACAACCUUGGAAAAUAGGUGCUAUUAUUAUCUCUGCCUCAUAGCUGAAUAAAUGGAGGCAGACAGUGGCUAUGUGACUUGCU
ensembl:lncRNA